UAUAUUGAACCGCUUGAAGAUAUGAUAAUUCAAAUAGAUUAAAAUGCAUAAUUACGAGUUUUCACUCAACUUAAAUUUUUUUCAUACCUUAAAAUCAAUAAAUUCUGAAUGCUAAUUGGUACUCGUGAAGACAUAAAUAUUUAUAUAGCCUCUAUUUUUCUUUUUGUUGAAAUUAAGUAACACAAAAAAAAAAUAAUAAUAAAUAAAUAAAUUAUAUAUAUCAAAUCAAAUAUAAUAAUUAAAAGGAAAAUCACAAAUCGUGUGUCUGGAGAUAAACAAUUAUGAGGAACUACAGUUGAGUGAUUUUUUAUUUUUUUUAACUCAAAACAUUAGAUAGGUCGAGUGGAGAAAGAUUAGAGAGAGAGAGAGAGAUCUUUAUCUGCUCUCUCACGUGCAUAGGUGGCAGUGAUAUUUUGCUCAUG
rnacentral:lncRNA from 1 species